rnacentral:rRNA from 1 species
ACAACGAAGAGUUUGAUCCUGGCUCAGGAUGAACGCUAGCGGCAGGCCUAAUACAUGCAAGUCGUACGGUAAACGGUCCUUCGGGACCGUGAGAGUGGCGGACGGGUGCGCAACGCGUAUGCAACCCACCCCCGACAGGCGGAUAGCCGGUGGAAACGCCGGAUAAUACGCCAUGGUUCCGGAGAGGGGCAUCCCUCUCUGGGUAAAGCAGUGAUGCGGUCGGGGACGGGCAUGCGUCCCAUUAGAUAGUUGGCGGGGUGACGGCCCACCAAGUCUUUGAUGGGUAGGGGAUCUGAGAGGACGGUCCCCCACACUGGCACUGAGACACGGACCAGACUCCUGCGGGAGGCAGCAGUAGGG